rnacentral:rRNA from 1 species
AUGGCGAGAGAGAGAGAGAGCGGCGGUGGGAAGCUAGCUGUGGAGGGCGCGGCGGCUUUCAGAUCCCCUUCAACUCUGAGCUCCAUGUCUUCCUCAAGCUCCCGCACCACCUUGCGGAUGCAGAGCCAGGCGCGUGUGGACAUGCCUGUCUUCGUCUGUCCGCGGUGCCGGGCGGGUGUUGAUCGGAGGGUUUCUCACACAUCGAGGAACCAGAAUCGUCCGUUCUACGUGUGCAGCGAGAAUGGGGUGACGUGCUUCUUUCUUUGGGUCGAUGCUCUGGCCAAGACUCUAAUGAAUGAACUGCAAGAAGAGCAUGAAGAAUGGUUGCGCAUGCUGUCACAAAUGUCAGUGGCCGCAGCAUGA